CUUUUCUUACCCAUCAUUGGUGUUGCAGACCUCGUCUAUCAGGAGAGCACGCUCAGUCCUUGAGGCAAAACUCACGCACUUUUCCACCACAUUACUACGAACAAGAGAGAAUAUCAUUAAUCCCGGUGCUGUAUUUACAGCCGGCGUUGGGCGUUACGGUCUUACACGGGCUUAAAGAAACGUCUGGUAAUCAAGCUUACUUUGUUUUCUCUUUCUAUUUGUUCUCUUGCGUUUUUUUUUUUUUUUUUUAACUUUUUGAAGAGUCUGGAAAGACUAGGCCAUUUUGUGUGUAUUGUUAGUAAGCACUGUCACUGAGAAUGGUCACUGUUAGAGGGUAUAUUGCGUCCCCAGUGGUUUUUUUUAUGUUCCUUAGAUUCAGGAUUCAGGAGUUGAACCUUAGCCACAGCGGUGAGAGGCCAACGCGCUAACACACAAGAAAACCUGUGCUUCCACUUGAUCUCCAAAAACAUGUUAGCCAUUCCAGUCGGCACUAGCGCUGUUCUCACCUGGCGAACUUGUGCUGGCUGAGGGGAAGGAUGUUCCCACGGAGCUGCAUGACUAUCUUGCUUCUGUCCUCGGGCGUGCCAUGCUCUAGUACGUGCUGAAUGACGUAAUUCCCGUACUGGUCCUGUACCAGGCGGUCUGUCUGGUCGUGCAUCUCGUUCAGGAUGGGAAGGGUCUGCUCCGUCAGGCAGUGCUCUAGGAUGCGCUGGAUCACUCGACAGCCAUAGGGGUGGGUGGACAGUGCGUACACCUACGAUAGUAGAGAAGGAGCGAUGAGCAAAGUAUAGAGAAGUUGAGGUUUCCGUCGGACCUCCGGAAGUAAACUGGUGACAAUGCGGCUUUAACAGUGCCAACAUUGCGGUUGAGAAAUAGUAGAGAAGGAGUGAUGAGAAAAAAACAAAACAGAGCAGCCAAGCAAGGGUUAACAGUGCCAACACUGCGCUUGAGAAAUAGUAGAGAAGGAGUGAUGAGCAAAAUACAGCGAAGCCAAGCAAGGGUUAACAGUGCCAACAUUGCGUUUGAGAAAUAUUAAGCCGAUGACAUACAAUACAUACAAUAUUUGAUAA